AAUCAACGCUGGCGGCGUGCCUCAGACAUGCAAGUCGAGCGAUUAAACUUCCCUUCGGGGAAGAUAUAAAGUGGCGCACGGGUGAGUAACACGUAGGUAAUGUACCUUUGGGUGGGGAAUAACUUAGGGAAACUUAAGCUAAUACCGCAUAAUGCAGCGGCUCCUUCGGGAGACAGUUGUUAAAGAUUUAUCGCCUAAGGAGCAGCCUGCGGCAGAUUAGCUAGUUGGUAAGGUAACGGCUUACCAAGGCUACGAUCUGUAUCCGACCUGAGAGGGUGGUCGGACACACUGACACUGAAUAACGGGUCAGACUCCUACGGGAGGCAGCAGUCGGGAAUUUUGGGCAAUGGGCGAAAGCCUGACCCAGCAACGCCGCGUGAAGGAUGAAGUCUUUCGGGAUGUAAACUUCGUAAGAAUAGGAAGAAUAAAUGACGGUACUAUUUGUAAGGUCCGGCUAACUACGUG
rnacentral:rRNA from 1 species